AGAGUUUGAUCAUGGCUCAGAACGAACGCUGGCGGCGUGCUUAACACAUGCAAGUCGAACGCGAAAGUUUUCUUCGGAAGAUGAGUAGAGUGGCGCACGGGUGAGUAACGCGUAAAUAAUCUACCCCUGCAUUCGGGAUAACCCACCGAAAGGUGUGCUAAUACCGGAUACGUUCUUUUUAUCGCGAGAUAAAAAGAAGAAAGGUGGCCUCUGAUAUAAGCUACUGUGCGGGGAGGAGUUUGCGUACCAUUAGCUAGUUGGUAGGGUAAUGGCCUACCAAGGCAACGAUGGUUAGCGGGUCUGAGAGGAUGAUCCGCCACACUGGAACUGGAACACGGACCAGACUCCUACGGGAGGCAGCAGUGAGGAAUAUUGCGCAAUGGGGGCAACCCUGACGCAGCGACGCCGCGUGGAUGAUGAAGGCCUUCGGGUCGUAAAAUCCUGUCAGAUGGAAAGAAAUGUAUAUGUAUUAACAGUAUGUAUGCUUGACGGUACCAUCAAAGGAAGCACCGGCUAACUCCGUGCCAGCAGCCGCGGUAAUACGGAGGGUGCAAGCGUUGUUCGGAAUUACUGGGCGUAAAGCGCGCGUAGGUGGUCUGUUAUGUCAGAUGUGAAAGUCCACGGCUCAA
rnacentral:rRNA from 1 species